rnacentral:rRNA from 1 species
CUGCCUUCAGGAUGGGGACAACAGACGGAAACGACUGCUAAUACCGAAUACGCUUGGAAGACCGCAUGAUCUUCCAAGGAAAGGGUGGCCUCUACCUGUAAGCUAUCGCCUGAAGAGGGGUUUGCGUCUGAUUAGGCAGUUGGUGAGGUAACGGCCCACCAAACCUACGAUCAGUAGCCGGUCUGAGAGGAUGAACGGCCACACUGGAACUGAGACACGGUCCAGACUCCUACGGGAGGCAGCAGUGGGGAAUCUUCCGCAGUGGGCGAAAGUCUGACGGAGCAGCGCCGCGUGAGUGAUGACGGCCUUCGGGUUGUAAAGCUCUGUGAUCGGGGACGAACGGUCCGUAAGCCAAUACCUUAUGGAAGUGACGGUACCCGAAUAGCAAGCCACGGCUAACUACGUGCCAGCAGCCGCGGUAAUACGUAGGUGGCAAGCGUUGUCCGGAAUUAUUGGGCGUAAAGCGCGCGCAGGCGGCUUUCUAAGUCCAUCUUAAAAGUGCGGGGCUUAACCCCGUGAUGGGAUGGAAACUGGAAAGCUGGAGUAUCGGAGAGGAAAGUGGAAUUCCUAGUGUAGCGGUGAAAUGCGUAGAGAUUAGGAAGAACACCGGUGGCGAAGGCGACU